GUUUGUCGGUAAAACUCGUGCCAGCCACCGCGGUUAUACGAGAGACCCAAAUUGACAGUACCCGGCAUAAAGUGUGGUUAAGAAACAAACACAAUAAGGCCGAACUCUUUCAAGGCUGUUAUACGCAACCGAAAUAAAGAAGAUCAACAACGAAAGUGACCUUAGCCCAAUCUGAACCCACGAAAGCUAGGAAACAAACUGGGAUUAGAUACCCCACUAUGAAG
rnacentral:rRNA from 1 species